UACGUAGGGUGCGAGCGUUGUCCGGAAUUAUUGGGCGUAAAGAGCUCGUAGGCGGCUUGUCGCGUCGUCCGUGAAAACCCACAGCUCAACUGUGGGCUUGCGGUCGAUACGGGCAGGCUAGAGUUCGGUAGGGGAGACUGGAAUUCCUGGUGUAGCGGUGAAAUGACGCAGAUAUCAGGAGGAACACCGGUGGCGAAGGCGGGUCUCUGGGCCGAUACUGACGCUGAGGAGCGAAAGCGUGGGGAGCGAACAGG
rnacentral:rRNA from 1 species